rnacentral:piRNA from 1 species
UACAGAGUAGGGAUUUCCCACUUACAUUUGU